rnacentral:rRNA from 1 species
UACGGAGGGGGAGCUAGCGUUGUUCGGAAUUACUGGGCGUAAAGCGCACGUAGGCGGCUUUGUAAGUUAGAGGUGAAAGCCCGGGGCUCAACUCCGGAAUUGCCUUUAAAACUGCAUCGCUCGAAUUGUGGAGAGGUAAGUGGAAUUCCGAGUGUAGAGGUGAAAUUCGUAGAUAUUCGGAAGAACACCAGUGGCGAAGGCGACUUACUGGACACAUAUUGACGCUGAGGUGCGAAAGCGUGGGGAGCAAACAGG